GUGAGAUACAACAUUGUGGCUUUGCUUUCCAUCUAGGGAAUUGCAGUAUGUGCUAAAAAUACUGUUGAGCACAUGGGAAUACAGAGUGUUAUCGCAUACGGAGGGGAAGAAGGAAUGUCAGAUCCACAAGAAGCAACCAUAGAAGAGGGACAACUUAGCACUGAAUGUUCUGAGUGCCAUGGAAGCCAUGAGAACGUCUGCUAAAUCCUUUACAAGACUGAAGGUGGCACACAGCAGAGGGAAGACACUUGAGAAGUGAGCCAGAUCUCCCUACUGACGUCAAGAGGAGCAGCUGAAAACAGGCCAAUAACAAUUUUUAGGCUUUAAAGCAGGCUCUGUGGCUGUUCAGGAAGGAGGAGAUUUCUUGUUACAAGC
ensembl:lncRNA